rnacentral:rRNA from 1 species
GACGAACGCUGGCGGCGUGCCUAAUACAUGCAAGUUGAGCGCUGAAGGUUGGUACUUGUACCAACUGGAUGAGCAGCGAACGGGUGAGUAACGCGUGGGGAAUCUGCCUUUGAGCGGGGGACAACAUUUGGAAACGAAUGCUAAUACCGCAUAAAAACUUUAAACACAAGUUUUAAGUUUGAAAGAUGCAAUUGCAUCACUCAAAGAUGAUCCCGCGUUGUAUUAGCUAGUUGGUGAGGUAAAGGCUCACCAAGGCGAUGAUACAUAGCCGACCUGAGAGGGUGAUCGGCCACAUUGGGACUGAGACACGGCCCAAACUCCUACGGGAGGCAGCAGUAGGGAAUCGUCGGCAAUAGACGAAAGUCUGACCGAGCAACGCCGCGUGAGUGAAGAAGGUUUUCGGGUCGUAAAACUCUGUUGGUAGAGAAGAACGUUGGUGAGAGUGGAAAGCUCAUCAAGUGACGGUAACUACCCAGAAAGGGACGGCUAACUACGUG